rnacentral:rRNA from 1 species
AGAGUUUGAUCCUGGCUCAGAACGUACGCUGGCGGCACGCCUAACACAUGCAAGUCGAACGAAGUAGCAAUACUUAGUGGCAGACGGGUGAGUAACAUGUAGGUAUCUGCCCUUUGGCCUGGAAUAACACGAGGAAACUUGUGCUAAUACCGGAUAAGUCUUUACAGAGAAAGCUUUAUGCACCAUUGGAUGAGCCUGCACUUGAUUAGUUUGUUGGUGGGGUAAUGGCCUACCAAGACUGUGAUCAAUAGCUGAUUUGAGAGGAUGAUCAGCCACAUUGGGACUGAGACACGGCCCAAACUCCUACGGGAGGCAGCAGUGGGGAAUCUUGCACAAUGGAGGAAACUCUGAUGCAGCGAUGCCGCGUGAGUGAAGAAGGCCUUUGGGUUGUAAAGCUCUUUCGUCGGGGAAGAAAAUGACUGUACCCGAAUAAGAAGGUCCGGCUAACUUCGUGCCAGCAGCCGCGGUAAUACGAAGGGACCUAGCGUAGUUCGGAAUUACUGGGCUUAAAGAGUUCGUAGGUGGUUGAAAAAGUUGGUGGUGAAAUCCCAGAGCUUAACUCUGGAACUGCCAUCAAAACUUUUCAGCUAGAGUAUGAUAGAGGAAAGCAGAAUUUCUAGUGUAGAGGUGAAAUUCGUAGAUAUUAGAAAGAAUACCAAUUGCGAAGGCAGCUUUCUGGAUCAUUACUGACACUGAGGAACGAAAGCAUGGGUAGCGAAGAGGAUUAGAUACCCUCGUAGUCCAUGCCGUAAACGAUGUGUGUUAGACGUUGGAAAUUUAUUUUCAGUGUCGCAGCGAAAGCGAUAAACACACCGCCUGGGGAGUACGACCGCAAGGUUAAAACUCAAAUGAAUUGACGGGGACCCGCACAAGUAGUGGAGCAUGUGGUUUAAUUCGAAGAUACGCGCAGAACCUUACCAACACUUGACAUGUUCGUCGCGACUUUAAGAGAUUGAAGUUUUCGGUUCGGCCGGACGAAACACAGGUGCUGCAUGGCUGUCGUCAGCUCGUGUCGUGAGAUGUUGGGUUAAGUCCCGCAACGAGCGCAACCCUCACUUUUAGUUGCCAUCAUUAAGUUGGGCACUCUGAAAGAACUGCCAGUGAUAAGCUGGAGGAAGGUGGGGAUGACGUCAAGUCCUCAUGGCCCUUACGUGUUGGGCUACACACGUGCUACAAUGGUAUCUACAACAGGAAGCAAGACUGCGAAGUUAAGCAAAUCCUCAAAAGAUACCUCAGUUCGGAUUGCACUCUGCAACUCGAGUGCAUGAAGCUGGAAUUACUAGUAAUCGUGGAUCAGCGUGCCACGGUGAAUGCGUUCCCGGGUCUUGUACACACCGCCCGUCACACCAUGGGAGUUGGUUCUACCUUAAGGCAAGGUUUAAAACCCUUGACCACGGUAUAGUCAGCGACUGGGGUGAAGUCAUAACAAGGUAGCCGUA